AACGAACGCUGGCGGCAGGCUUAACACAUGCAAGUCGAACGGGCGUAGCAAUACGUCAGUGGCGGACGGGUGAGUAACACGUGGGAAUAUGCCUUUCGGUUCGGAACAACUCGGGGAAACCCGUGCUAAUUCCGGAUACGCCCUUACGGGGAAGAUUUAUCGCCGAAGAUUAGCCCGCGUUGGAUUAGCUAGUUGGUGAGGUAAAGGCUCACCAAGGCGACGAUCCAUAGCUGGUUUGAGAGAACGACCAGCCACACUGGGACUGAGACACGGCCCAGACUCCUACGGGAGGCAGCAGUGGGGAAUCUUGGACAAUGGGCGGCAAGCCUGAUCCAGCCAUGCCGCGUGAGUGAUGAAGGCCUU
rnacentral:rRNA from 1 species